CCAAUAGCGUAUAUUAAAGUUGUUGCAGUUAGAAAGCUCGUAGUUGAAUUUCGGGAUCAGUAUGUUGGUCGUGCUUCGGUACGUACUGUCAUUACUGGUUUCUACCUUCUGAAGAACCUUGAUGUCAUUAAUUUGGUGUCUUGGGGAAUCAGGACUGUUACUUUGAAAAAAUUAGAGUGUUUAAAGCAAGCAUACGCUUGAAUACAUUAGCAUGGAAUAAUGAAAUAGGACGUUUGAUUCUAUUUUGUUGGUUUCUAGGAUCGACGUAAUGAUUAAUAGGGAUAGUUGGGGGCAUUAGUAUUCAAUUGUCAGAGGUGAAAUUCUUGGAUUUAUUGAAGACUAACUACUGCGAAAGCAUUUGCCAAGGAUGUUUUCAUUAAUCAAGAACGAAAGUUAGGGGAUCGAAGACGAUCAGAUACCGUCGUAGUCUUAACCAUAAACUAUGCCGACUAGGGAUCGGACGAUGUUAUUUUUAAUGACUCAUUCGGCGCCUUACG
rnacentral:rRNA from 1 species